rnacentral:rRNA from 1 species
UAGGGAAUCUUCGGCAAUGGACGAAAGUCUGACCGAGCAACGCCGCGUGAGUGAAGAAGGUUUUCGGAUCGUAAAACUCUGUUGUUAGAGAAGAACAAGGACGUUAGUAACUGAACGUCCCCUGACGGUAUCUAACCAGAAAGCCACGGCUAACUACGUGCCAGCAGCCGCGGUAAUACGUAGGUGGCAAGCGUUGUCCGGAUUUAUUGGGCGUAAAGCGAGCGCAGGCGGUUUCUUAAGUCUGAUGUGAAAGCCGCAGGCUAAACCGGGGAGGGUUAUUGGAAACUGGGAGACUUGAGUGCAGAAGAGGAGAGUGGAAUUCCGUGUGUAGCGGUGAAUGGCGUAGAUAUAGGGAGGAACACCAGUGGCGAAGGCGGCUCUCUGGUCUGUAACUGACGAUGAGGCUCGAAAGCGUGGGGAGCAAACAGG